UGGUAGAGGAUGCGGAUAUGAUCAGUACCCCUUAGCAUAACGCCGGUAAGCGGUUAUGGGGGAAAGGCUGAUCCGCCGAAGUGGUCUUACGGUUACCGCCGUUUGAUUGCUGGGGUUGCGUUUAACAGACGCUGCACUGUCACUUUUAUGUGGAGAGCUAUCA
rnacentral:ncRNA from 1 species